ensembl:lncRNA
GCCAAGUGUGACCCACCGGAACCCAGAAGCCGGGUUCUGACUCCACCAUCGGAGGACGUGGAGGAUGCCGGGGCACAGGUGCGCCGCUGUGCAGGAGGAAGAUGUGGAACACAGACCAGAGAGCUCGCUCAGAGCGGGACCAUCUUUAAGUGAGUGAGCGCCGCGCAGUGAAGUCAUGGUCUGAAUGCGCAUUUGCAGGUGGAUAAAACCCAGAGAGGGCCUGGAGGUGCCCUGCGGCCGCGCUGCUUUCGGACACAUUUAGGGAGCUUUUGCUGGACUGAGAGGGGAGACUCUAGUGGGCUCCCCAGGCCCACUGCACCCUGGCUCUUCUCAGCAUUGUCACCCCUUCCUGUCAAUAACCUCGUCCCUGGACAGCUGUGCAACUGUGGUUUCAUCCUGGGACAACCACCUGCCCAAUUUCAACCAAGGGGAUGAAAACCGUUACAAGACUCCCCAAAGCUCCCUCACAUGGGAUAAAAGGCUGAGAAAUGAGGAAGGGCUUGUUGGGAUCCAGGGGCUGGUCCCCAAGGGGAGGGGGAGGGGACCAUCUGCUUGUCUCCAGUCGGGGCUGUGAGGAGCUGCUGGAAGAGUUUAACCUGUGAUCCCGCAGUUUGAGAGACAUAGGGGCUGGUCUCAGAGUCAAGCCUGAAAAAUCAGAGUGAGUGACAGGCUGGCUGGAGCCCAAGUGGGUCACGGCGAAGGAUGCCAGCAAGGUUUGCCACAGACCAGACGGUGGCCAGACAGGAGCCUGGGGCCAGAGGUGCUUUCGGCUCCUGUGGGAGGAGGACAGCACUGAGGGGCUGCAGGCGAGGCUGGCUGCCCAGGGCCUCCUUGGUAAGCAGCCCAGGUGGACAGAGCCACAUCCUCCCUCCUUCAGGGUCUGCAGGCCAAAGGGGACAGCAAAGCACCUGGGGGAUGGGAGGCGAAUGUCCUCAGAAGUCAUGGAAACACCUGUCUGAGGAAGAGGCAGCUUCCCACCUCUGCCAGUGCCCCUCACACCACAGGACCCAUCUGGAAAAACCCCACCCUGCCGUUCCUUCCUCUUUCCUGGUUCACCCUGGGAGGGUCAGAAACUGCACUGGCAAGAAGGGGCCUGAAGAAGAGUGGAGGAGCCCACCACGCCCCCUCCUGGGCUGCAGCAGACUGAGCCGUGGGGGUGGGAGGGAGCAGGGUAGACGGGACUGAACAGGGGAUCCAGUCUCCAUGACCUAGGAACACCUGACAGCUGGCCCUCCUCUGCAUCCAGGAUAAGAACCAGCCCCAAGAGUGAGUUAAAGGGACAGACGGAAAUUCAAAUGCAGCUGCUUUCGGACUGCUUUGCACAAGUCCCCCUGAACAUCACAGGCUGUUGGAAGGGCCAGGCUGGUAGGAAAAGUGGAAGCAACUUUCCUCUUUCCCCCUCCUGCCUCUUCAAAUGCCAAGCAGAGUCCCUCCCGCCCACUCCUGGGUGACGUCUCAGCUUAUCUGCUCCCAGCAGCCCUGUCCUACAGAGAGAGCGGGAGCCAGCUGUGCAGACCUGAGUGUCAACAUUCUGGGAGCCACAGGAGAAAAAGCAGAACGGAAAGGAGAGGCCCCUCCAGCCACCUGUCCUGCUCUGAGAUUUCCCAGGCACAAAUCUGGA